rnacentral:rRNA from 1 species
GAACCGUCCAAACGUUAUUCGGAUUUAUUGGGCUUAAAGGGUAUGUAGGCGGCCCUUCAAGUCGGGUGUGAAAGCCCUCGGCUCAACCGAGGAACUGCGCCCGAUACUGCAGGGCUUGAGGGAGACAGAGGUAAGCGGAACUGAUGGUGGAGCGGUGAAAUGCGUUGAUAUCAUCAGGAACACCAGUGGCGAAAGCGGCUUACUGGGUCUCUUCUGACGCUGAGAUACGGAAGCUAGGGGAGCGAACGGGAUUAGAUACCCCGGUAGUCCUAGCUGUAAACGAUGAGCACUUGAUCGUCGGGGCCCCCCAUAGCCUCUCGGUCGCAGCGAAAGUGGUAAGUGCUCCGCCUGGGGAGUAUGGUCGCAAGGCUG